UCAUGUUUCUCGGCACGACGUUCAGAGCAAAAAAUGUUUAUUUUGCAUUAUUGUUGGCCUGCCUUAUCGCUGGGAAUUCAUUCCGUUUUGUCGUGUUCGAGGUACGCGUCGAAAUUCUUUUUGACUUAAAAAUGCCUAAACGUAAAAUAAGUGAGGGAAAAAAGUGUGAAGUGAGGAAACUUAACAAAAAACUCAAGAAAAUACAGGAUAAGCUACGACUACUGGAUUCAAGCGAUUCGUCUUUUACGUCAUCUAGCGAAUCUUCAGGUUCGUCUUCGGACGUAGAACCCAAUAAUGAAGAAAUCCAGAUCAUACCUCAAACGGAGACAGCACCAGAACAGAUUGAAGUAGAUUUUGACUUCUUUGGCAGCAAGCCGCUGGACGAGGCACAAAUCGGUGUAGCAAUACACAACGAGAUUGCAGUACGCUGGAGUGCAGUGCUACAAUCGGGGUUAACCAGUGCACAAAGAAGUGACAUUACAGAAAAAUACAAAAUUCCCGAAAAUUGUCUACAAUUGCUACCUCCAAAAACAAAUGAUGAAAUACAACCAUGUCUUCCCGAUGGGGUUCUUAAACAUGACAAAUUCGUUACAGCGUUGCAGUUACAGCUAGCUCACGGCCUCUCAGCCAUCGCAACAAUAAUAAACAAAAAUUUGCCAGUCGCAGAACAGGCUAACGACACAAAAGUUUUGGGGGAAGCAUGUCAAAUUUUUGCAAAUGUCCAUAAUGCGCUUUCAAUUCAUAGAAAGUACAAAAUUUUGCCGCAUUUACAUCCUGAUUGUGCUAAAGUGGCCAAAAACAUAAAAAUGGAUAACAACCUGUUUGGAAAAGAUUUUCAUGAAGUUUUCAAAAACGACCAAGCUCUAAAAAAAUCAAGUGCUGUCUUGAAGAAGAGAGCCUCAACUGCCAUGACUGCGACCGCUGGAACUUCUGGACUUCAGCAGAAAUACCGUCAGUCUUUAAACUACCAGCGCCCCCAAUACAAAGGGAAAUUCAAAGAAGGAGUGAGGAGAGAGGAGAUGCUGCCGAGGGAAAGAAGCAAAUGGAACCAGCGGAAGGAACAACAGUACCAUCAACGCAGGAAGUAGGCGGUUCGAAUAAGGACCAGCCAUCCGCUAUGCAAGGAACUUUCCCUGGUGGCAGGGAAAUUGUCAGGGUCGCUUAUCAAAUAAAAGGAAUUCCGGCGACAGCGAUACCAACAAUGAUCAAUUCCUUAUCAGAAGGCACCUUAAAGCAAUAUUCCAAUUGUUUUAAAAAAUACUGGGAGUUUUGCAAUGAAAGGCAAUAUAUAAACCCAUUUAUUUACAGUAUAGGUAGAUAUUUAGAAUUCUUAGAACAUGCAUUAAAUAAAGGAAUGUCUUAUUCUGUCAUUAAUUCUUAUAGGUCGGCUUUAAAUCUUAUAUUUUCGCCGAAAGAACAAGACUUAAAAUGCAUUAAUAGGUUUCUCAAGGGUGUAGCAAAUAUAAGACCGCCGGAGCCGAAAUAUUCGUACAUCUGGAAUCCGGAUUCGGUACUAGCAGUUUUGAAAACGUGGUACCCAUUAAAUUCCUUGAAUAUCGAAAAACUAACCUAUAAACUUACUUUUCUAAUGGCAAUUGCAUCCGCCAGUAGAGUACAAACUUUAACUAAAAUAAAAAUCGGUAACAUAUUAAAGAAUGAAAAUAAAAUAGAAAUAAAAAUUUCAGAUAGAAUUAAAACAUCAGCCCCCAAUAAAAUCCAACCAGUUUUAAUAUUCCCAUUCUUUAAUGAAACACCAGAGUUAUGCGUGGCACACACUAUAGAGGCUUAUCUAGAAAAAACUGCACAGUUUAGGAAUAAUAACGAAUCACUGAUCCUAACACAUAAAAGACCAUUUCACCCAGCAACCUCACAAACCAUAAGUCGAUGGCUGAAAACAGUAUUAAAAUUAGGAGGAAUUGACACUACAGUUUUUUCUGGUCAAAGCACUCGACACGCAUCAGCUUCCGCUGCUUCCAGGAAAGGGGUGAAUAUUGACCUCAUACGUCAUACGGCCGGGUGGACGCCGUCCUCCAAUACAUUUUUCAAAUUCUAUAAUAGACCCUUAAUUAAACCCAGAGAAGAAUUUGCUAAAACGGUGCUAACCACCGAAAAAUAAUGUUGCAUAAGAUUAUUAAAAUUCAUCCUUAUUGGAACAAGCCUUACAUAUUAUUAAUAAUAAUAUUUAGUCUAGGGUUAUAUAAGUAUUUAUAUAAUGUACAUAUAAAACUUUAGGUUUAAGGAUCCAAUAUAUGUAGGUACAUAGGAACAUACCAAUGUUGCAGAUUAAUUUAGUAUAGGUAUAAGUGUUAAUUGUUAAAUGCCAAUAAUUACUUAAAAGAUGCAUUUACGCAUUUAUAUAAGAAAUCUUAUAUUAUUACUAUUACUCACUUCAUAAGUUUAUUAAAAUAAUACAUGUCAUAACCAGGUACAAUUUGUUAGAUAAAUUAAAAUUUCGCCACUACAAAAUUGCCUUUGACUCUAAACAUCUACAUUGUUGUAAUUAUAUCAAGGACAAGCGAAGGAAAAUUAUAAGAUCAAUCGACUUACCUGAAGGAAGAUUGAUAUUAAUUUUCCGAGCUUGUCCGUAGAUAUAAUUACAAACCCUCCCACCACUUCCAAGCACCCAGAAGCAAUUUUGUCCACCAACCAACGCCAACGGAAUGAAUUCCCAGCGAUAAGGCAGGCCAACAAUAAUGCAAAAUAAACAUUUUUUGCUCUGAACGUCGUGCCGAGAAACAUGAUUCACGGAUACUACAUUGUUGUACAUUGUUGUAAUUAUAUCUACGGACAAGCUCGGAAAAUUAAUAUCAAUCUUCCUUCAGGUUUAGUGCUUAUUUUAAGUGCAUACAUUGCAAAUAUGUGUCGCAAAGGCCAAGAAACGACGGAAUCCGAGCGAAAAAUAAUUGUACAGCAGCGAAAAAAGGGUAAAUCGUAUUCAGCGAUUGCCCAAAUUGUAAAGAAAAGUCGAUUUACCGUGCGUAGUGUCUUAAAAAGGUUUGAAACUGCAGAAAAUUUCAAAAAUAAGCCUAGAACUAGACAUCCGCCAAAGUUAACGGAGAGGCAAGAGAGAAAAAUUGUGAAUAAAAUUAAGCAAAAUCCUCGAACUAGCGCUUCUGAAAUUGCGGCUAUAUUGACAGAAGAAGAUCAUCAAGAAUCAAGAAGCAUCAACGUGAGCUCAAAAACAGUACGAAGAGUUCUUCAUAGGGCUGAAUAUAGUGCCAGAGUAGCUCGGAAUAAACCAUUUAUUAAUAAGGUUAACCAAAAAAAGCGUCUUGAAUUUGCGAAUGCACACUUUUAUCAAGAUAAUAUAUUUUGGGACAAAGUAAUAUUCUUUGAUGAAAGUAAAUUCAACAUUUUUCAUUCAGAUGGGAAAGUGACUGUGUGGAGGAAGCCCAAUUGUGAACUAGAUGCACAAAAUCUGCAUAAAACUGUGAAACAUGGUGGUGGUAGUGCACUAGUGUGGGGCUGUAUGUCAUCGGGAGGGGUCAGAAAUCUGGUUUUUAUAGAUGGUAUUAUGGACAAAAAUGUAUAUUUAAAUAUUCUAAAAAAAACUUAAGAGCUAGUGCGGAACAACUUAAUUUGGCAAAUGAUUAUUACUUUCAACAGGACAACGAUCCGAAACAUACAGCCUAUUUAGUCAAGCAGUGGAUUGCGUUUAAUGUCCCUCAUACUUUAAAUAUACUUCCUCAAUUUUCAGAUGUCAACCCGAUCGAAAAUCUUUGGAGUGAGCUAGGAAAACGAAUAAGGAAACACCAUAUUUCCAGUAAGGAAGAGCUUAAACGUGUUUUGCUGCAAGAAUGGAAUAGUUUUGAGCCUGUCAUACGCAAAAGCUGGUCCAUUCAAUGAGAAGGAGACUCACUCAUAUUAUAAAAAGAAAAGGAGGUCCUACAAAAUAUUAGAAAUGGGAUUAAAUUUUAUUUUUAUUUGGUGUGCCAAUAGUUAUGUCCAUUUUAAAUAGAAUGUAAUUUUUAUUUUUUGUUGUGCUCUCGUUAUGCUUAAGGAAAUCUGUUUUAUUUUACAUUAUUACGUAUUAUUGUACUAAAUCUUUUAUAUGUUUUUAGUUAGAUAGUUAUUAUUGGGUUACAUAAAUAUAGUAAACAUUAAUAAAUUACUUU
rnacentral:misc_RNA from 1 species